UUGGGAAUCUUGGACAAUGGGGGAAACCCUGAUCCAGCCAUGCCGCGUGAGUGAUGAAGGCCUUCGGGUUGUAAAACUCUUUCGACGGGGACGAUAAUGACGGUACCCGUAGAAGAAGCUCCGGCUAACUUCGUGCCAGCAGCCGCGGUAAUACGAGGGGGGCUAGCGUUGUUCGGAAUUACUGGGCGUAAAGCGCGCGCAGGCGGUCUUCCAAGUCAGUGGUGAAAGCCCGGAGCUCAACUCCGGAACUGCCAUUGAAAUUGUAAGACUUGAGGAUGAGAGAGGUGAGUGGAAUUCCCAGUGUAGAGGUGAAAUUCGUAGAUAUUGGGAAGAACACCGGUGGCGAAGGCGGCUCACUGGCUCAUAUCUGACGCUCAGGCGCGACAGCGUGGGGAUCAAACAGGAUUAGAUACCCUGGUAGUCCACGCCGUAAACGAUGAAUGCUAGCCGUUGGGCAGCUUGCUGUUCAGUGGCGCAGCUAACGC
rnacentral:rRNA from 1 species